ensembl:lncRNA
GUUGUAUCUCGCAGCCAUGUACUACAAUGAGAAUGCCCAGCGUCCACAGGCAACAACAACACAAGGAGAGGCUGUUUUCAAAAUCACUUUUCCGAAGUCAAAACAAGGGGAAUGCACAGCCAAGACCCAACAUUUAACUAUGUCGAUGACCUGAUGAGUCUUCUACUACACAAAGUCAUUGUGGACCCAACACCAUAUGUAGAAGAACUACAUCAGAUCACCAUUCCACCUCCCCUGUCAUCAGAGUUUGAAAAACCCUGCAAGAAAGAUGUCAUUGCCCCCCAUGUGUCUCGGUUUAGUCAAGGGGUGGCCGAAAUCCAACGUACUGUCCAGCUGGAUCAGGAAACUGCUGGUGUAUCCGGCGAACAACACAAGACGGGAUGACGACCCUCACAUGUCGUCCUAAGUAGCACCAGCUGACAAAGCUGCGAUAUGCCGCAAAACAGAAACGCCUAUGGCAUUGAACCAUAAAGACAAAGUAAACAAAUGGUUCAUUAACAUCAUGUGUACAUAUGUUUGUAAAAAAUACAUUGUUUUAAACAUUUAAUUUUUUUUAUUCUUAUAUAACUAAAGUUAUUAUACAUUGUUUAAUUUUAUUAUAUUUAAUAAAAACAUACUCUUCUUCAGUUCUUCACCUCACUCAUCUGUAGUCAGCUUUGUAAAUAUUAUUUAUGUUUUGUAAGGUAUAUGGGUUUAAGCAGUUUGCUUCAAAGCCCGGGUGAUGAACCAUGCAUGUAGGAGGGUCUGCAAUCUGCAUCAUUCGUCGACAAACCUAUACAUUGAUGUGAGGCAUUAAUAAUUUAAUGUGCAGUCACGUAACAUUCAACUUUUAAUAAAUAAAUUAUUGUAAUGCAUGGCAACAUUUUCUUUUACGCAACAUGGCAGCUUUUAAGGCUAUAUUCAUGGUGAAAAAGUGUAUUUAUAUAAAGUUGUUUGGAUGAAAACAAUUUCAAAAGAACUAUACACAACAAAAAACUCGUUACGUAUUUCUGAAGGAGGGACUUCAUAGAAAAAGGAAGUCAUCAGCUCGUUUUUAUGACAGUGGAAACAGCGGUAUACAGAUAAGUAAAUUGUGUGAAAAAUACUGUGUUUUUUUACACGCAGAACAUGAACACAUGUUAUAUUGCACACUGUAAACACAAUCAAAGCUUCAAAAAAACACGAAAACCGGGACCUUUAAGGCCUGACUCUUGUGAUCCCAUAACAAAUAUGAAUGAAAUUUAUUGAACACAUCUAGAGAAAGAACUGUAUAAAAGAGAGUACAGAAAAAGAUUCUGGAGAUUGCUAUGCAGAGUUUUUCUCGGCUGUAUUUUCUCGGAAGAAUAAAGUCUCUCUUCUGGCAUCAAAACCCCAAGACUCUGAGAAUGAUUCCUCACAGCAGUGGCAGAAGCCACCACAUACAGGUGCUGGUCAUAUAAUUAGAAUAUCAUCAAAAAGUUGAUUUAUUUCACUAAUUACAUUCAAAUAGUGAAACUUGUAUAUUAUAUUUAUUCAUUACACACAGACUGAUAUAUUUCAAAUGUUUAUUUCUUUU